CCUGAUUGCCUUGCAAGAAGGAAGAGGUUUUAAAAGUUUUCAAAGCUAACAGACUCACCAUGGACAUUGGUACAUGCUGGUUAACUGUAUUGACUUGGAUUUACAAAGCAGCAUUGAGUCGUUGCAAAAGAGCCCAUGUGGUCUGCAAAUUCUAUACCAUUUACUGCCUGGCCUUUACAGCAUAUGUUUGCCAACCCCUGCUGCAGAGGAAUCAAGAGAUGCUGAGAAUAAAACCCUAUUAUGAAGAGAGGAAAGAACUGAAGUGACAAAGAAAGAUUGUUUUGAAAUUAGGAAGAAAUCUCAUGGAAUGAUAUUAUAAAAGGCAAAAGGAGGAGUUUCAAGAAAGAAGUCUCAAGUCAAUUGAGAGGAAAGCUGAAAGAGAAGUCACUGAAUUUAGAAGUUAGGUUAUGAGUGAUUCAGAGCACUUUGGAGGAGAUGGUAGUGGUUUAAGAGGUCAGAUCUCAGUGGGUUGAAGUUCAGAAGAGGAAAUCGAUAAGCAAACUACUCUCAAAGAACUCUGGUGGGAAAGGAAAGGCAUGAGAGGUGGUGGUGGAAUGCAGCAGGACGGGAAGAUGUCAAUGAAGACAUUGAACAUGCAGAUGUACCCACAGGUGGGAGAGGAGCUGGAGAGUAGAGGUAGCUUGGAGUAAGAUUCCUUCUAUCCUGGAAAGAGAAGACUGUAAAAACAACAGAAGAAAUUAGCCUUG
rnacentral:antisense_RNA from 1 species